UAUUUUGUGUGUGCGAUUUUCUUUCUUUUCUUAUUUUUUAGCUUUUCUUUUGUUGCAUCCAUUAUCAACUUACUAUACCAUGUUGCUAUGUGGUAUCGGUAACAGCUAUGGCAAACCUCUACCAUUGCUUGUCUUUGUCAUUUAUGUUGAAAAAAUGGAUCGAUCCGAUUAAUUAACGCGACCAACCGAGUUAUGACGCGUAAGAGUUACACCGUGGGCAACGAACUAAAAUCCACUUAAUUGGUUUAACUGGUAAUUACGAAUGAUAUGUGAAAUGGAUCAUAAUUAUAUUUAUGAUCAUGAGCAGCUUCAUAUUAUUAAUACUCGUUAUUAAUAAUAUAAUUAUUUAUCUUAACUAAUACACUUGUUGCGGGUAUUAACUGAGAGACGAGUACAUGGACCCGGUGAGACGGGUAUAAUCUCGCCACUUGUCGCACAUGCACUCAUCUUACGCCACUUGUCGCACGUGCACCUUGCAUUGUCACUUGUCGCACAUGCAUGAAUUCCUAGCCACUUUUCGCGCAUGCACUCUUGCAUCACCACUUGUCGCACAUGCAUGAACUUCCAGCCACUUGUCUCACAUCCAUCUCCAUACUUUAUAUAUAUGGAUGCAUAAUGUUGGAUUAAAGGUAAGACACUUUGCCCAAAACUCUCUAAAACACCUACAACCACCACCGUCGGCUGCCGCCACCGCCGCUGCCGGCCACCGCCGCUGCCGGCCACCGCCGCUGCUUGCCGGCGCCUGUAUUGCCAACCACCAUUGCCGCUACCCGGCCUAUACUCGCUUUUCGUUAGUUCGUGUAACUAGCACAUGUUGGUUAAACCUCGGUGUCUCAACCGAGUAGUUACUAACCGAGGGUUUUUGGCCACCGUGAUGGUUCAAAAAACGAAGACCCAAAGAUAAAAACCGUGGACGCUAAACCGAGGAGUCAUGAAGUCAGUGGGAGUUGCUCGAGACGACUCGAUGCACUCAAGUCCAUCCUUAUGGUUGUUUGUGUAUUGUGACCCCGUGGCCCGUUUGAUCUUGCUAUUAGGCUCUAGCAAGAUCGAACAAUAUAUUUUGUAAUAGAUAGGGUUCUUUCCUUUAUUAUAUUUUGUAAAUAUUGUAAUAAACGAAGACCCGAAGAUAAAAACUGUGGACGCUAAACCGAGAAGUCAUGAAGUCAGUGGGAGUUGCUCGAGACGACUCGAUGCACUUAAGUCCAUCCUUAUGGUUGUUUGUGUAUUGUGACCCCGUGACCCGUUUGAUCUUGCUAUUAGGCUCUAGCAAGAUCGAACAAUUUUUUGGCGAUAUAGAUUUACAUAUUUAUCUUGCUAUUGUGGUUGCUUUUUAUCUUAUAAGUUGUUAUAACAUAACCAACCUAAAUACCAACAUGAUUUUAAAAGGAUUUUUAAAAUAUUGAAACAAUCACAUUAAAAAAGUUCUAAAUUGUUUAAACAACUUGUUAAAAUUUUGUUAUACACUACGUCAAAACUGAGCUUUAGCCACAUUUUUUUUUUCAAAAUCCGCUUGCCACACAUUAAAAAAUGUGUGGCUAAAGGUCAUUUUAAUAUUUUCAAACAACUUUAGCCACACAUUUUGUUAUUAUUGUGACCAUUAUAUACAACUCAAAUCUUGGAGGAUUACACAAAGGCAAAACAUCUGGAUAUACAUUUGCAACACUUUCAAGUCAAAAAGUAGUGAUUAUAUGGAUUUGAAGAUAAAAACCUGGAAUUAGUUCUUAGUUUAUGUGUAGAGGCAUUCCCUUUGCAACUUUUGUUAAUAGGUUUUGGUUAGAAGUUUACGUCUUUAUUUGUAUUUAAAUAGAAACUUAUGUAUGGAUUUUGGUUAUAAUUGUUAAUAUCAUUUGGUUUUUUAGGUUUUC